GGCGAGGCCACGUCUCUAAGCCUCCAGCAAGGAAAUGCCCUUAAAAGGAGAUAUUUUGUAUCACUUUCUCUCUUUUCCUCUUCCCACAGGAUAGAAUGUGGACGUUGUGGGGAGACAGUUUUGACUGUAUGGAUGAUUAGAAUUCUCUGAGGGAGGUCAGAACAAGUCAGAAAGCAUCAGAGUACCUGGAUGAGUUGAUGGAGCACAGCCACUCACCUACUCUGAACCACCUGCCCACUUCCACAAAGGGAUGUGAAAGAGAAGGCCCAGGUGAAAUAGCAGCAGCACAGAGGCAUGCUUUUUUCACGGUGCAGGAAGGAGCACAGGGAGGAGCUUCCUACCCAGCUGACUCUGAAUGAAGUAUACAGUUUCUCCUCUGAUUGGGGUGGAUGAGGAAACAGAAGGCCAGAAUAUUUCGUGAAUUGCCCCGAAAGUCAUUCCUGUUUGGAGAUUGCUUUUAAAGGAAGACGGGAUUCGUUUCCAUGGGAGACUGCAUGUAUCUGAUGAGCGGAGUUUCAGUUUGCGCAGGAAGAUAUCUGAAGAGGAGAUGGAUUAUAAUGUUCAACUCAGGACAACUUAUGCACUGGGUCAGUUCAGACGGGCUUCCAAGAACCGAAAAAACAGAAACGUUAAGAUUUGUACUCCACCUGCUUCAUGCACUGUUACAGUUUCUGCAAGGCUGUAAUGAGAGACAAACUGUCAAGCUAGAAAAAGACACGUGGUCCCCUCUGACAGCCACAUCUGUUUUUAUAUCACAUCCACCUACCUUCCUGGGGGAAGGUCAGUGCUGAUCUGACUCCCUGCGUCUACCUGGUAACAGUACUGACAGACAAGAUAACUGCACAGGUGUGGGAGCGAAGGAGAUACGUGUCUGAGAACCUCCUCUAGGUUCUGGGCUUGGAAGAUGUGUACAUCUGAGGUCACGCUACAGCUGUCUCCCUCAGUGCAGUGGAUUUCAGGAUUCUUCCUGUUUUACAGGCCAUGAGCCAGGCGAGGUGGUGGUGCCACCCAGAGGGAGCACUGAUCUCACAAACUGGGCACCCUCCUGCAGCGACUUGUUACACAGAGUACAGUGAGGUGGACUCUGGACGUAAUCUUUUGAACGAUAAGAAUUGCUGUGUUUUAUUUUACCCCUCUACCUUUUCCCGUGUUUGUUUACUCCAUGGUGUCACUUUUUUUUUCCCUGACAUCCAUGCGUCAUGUUUUCCUUUGUUUACUAAACCUACCAGGCCUUUCUUCUCUGAAAAAUGCCUCCGUGCUCCAAAUUCAUCUCUGCUUUCCACCAAAACCUCCACUUCUUUCUUUCUGCCUAAUCACAGCUAAGACAGAAAUAUUCUUGGAGU